AUCUCACCACACUUAUAUUUCAGUCCUCUUCUUCGAUACACUAUCUCUCUCUCUCUCUCUCUCCCCCAGAACCCUACCCUACCCAUAUUACCGACGGCGACGACGAUCGAGAGACGAUCUACACUGAAAUAGCCAUCGGCGAUCGACGAUCGUGGUGUGGUGUUUGUUAUAGUUCUAAAGUGAAACCAAACCAGUGGAAGAGAGGUUACAGUGUGAAGAAGGUUACAAAGAGGAAAAAAAAAUGUUGUUCCAUGUUCCAUGACUCUUGAGGUUAGAGCCUGCCACACACUGUUUGUUCCAUGACUCUUGGACUUAGGCUCUUAAGUACAAAAACAUCCUUUUAAAGGCUUGCCACACAUUAUUUGUUUGUGUUUAUUUAGGACACACACUGAGCAGGUUGUGCCCACCUAUGUGCAAUGCACACACUAUUUGUUUGUCUUUAGCAAAUUAGCACACACAGCACACACUAGCAGAUUGAUCAACCAUAGUGUUUGUUUGUUUUUGUUAAAGAGACAGCCACCAAGAAGAUGAAAACACAGCCAAACAGGACCCUCAACAGCCUCCUUGUCACCAAUUAGAGGGCUGUUUGCUUUGAAUGGCAAACUAGUUUGUGUUCAUAUGCAUAUAGAUUUGUUGUGUAUAUACUGAACAGAGAUUUAUUUUUGUUUUUUGUUCAAAGCCCUAUGAUUGGUUUGGUAGUCUAUAAGUAAGUAUUAGUUUGUUCACCUGAAAGGGUUCUUGCUUCUUGUAGCUGAAUGGUAGUAUUUAUUUAUUUAUUAUUUUGGAAAGGCCAUUCAUGAUGAAAAA